CCGCCAGACUCCUACGGGAGGCAGCAGUGAGGAAUAUUGGUCAAUGGGCGGGAGCCUGAACCAGCCAAGUCGCGUGAGGGAAGACGGUCCUACGGAUUGUAAACCUCUUUUGCCGGGGAGCAAAGAGCGGGACGCGUCCCGCCUCGAGAGUACCCGGAGAAAAAGCAUCGGCUAACUCCGUGCCAGCAGCCGCGGUAAUACGUAGGGGGCAAGCGUUAUCCGGAUUUAUUGGGUUUAAAGGGUGCGUAGGCGGACGCUUAAGUCAGCGGUAAAAUUGCGGGGCUCACCCUCGUCGAGCCGUUGAAACUGGGUGCCUUGAGUGGGCGAGAAGUACGCGGAAUGCGUGGUGUAGCGGUGAAAUGCAUAGAUAUCACGCAGAACUCCGAUUGCGAAGGCAGCGUACCGGCGCCCAACUGACGCUGAAGCACGAAGGCGUGGGUAUCGAACAGGAUUAGAUACCCCCGUA
rnacentral:rRNA from 1 species